rnacentral:rRNA from 1 species
AGAGUUUGAUCCUGGCUCAGGAUGAACGCUGGCGGCGUGCCUAACACAUGCAAGUCGAACGGUUAAGCCGGCUUCGGCCGGGAAUACAGUGGCGAACGGGUGAGUAACACGUGACCAACCUGCCCCCCGCUCCGGGACAACCGCUGGAAACGGCGGCUAAUACCGGGUACUCCGCGGGCCCCGCAUGGGGCCGGCGGGAAAGCCCAGGCGGCGGGGGAUGGGGUCGCGGCCCAUUAGGUAGUAGGCGGGGUAGAGGCCCACCUAGCCGACGAUGGGUAGCCGGACUGAGAGGUCGACCGGCCACAUUGGGACUGAGAUACGGCCCAUACUCCUACGGGAGGCAGCAGUGGGGAAUUUUGCGCAAUGGGGGAAACCCUGACGCAGCAACGCCGCGUGCGGGACGAAGGCCCUCGAGGCUGUAAACCGCUUUCAGCAGGGAAGACAUCGACGGUACCUGCAGAAGAAGCUCCGGCUAACUACGUGCCAGCAGCCGCGGUAAUACGUAGGGGGCGAGCGUUAUCCGGAUUCAUUGGGCGUAAAGCGCGCGUAGGCGGCCGCCUAAGCGGAACCUCUAACCCCGGGGCUCAACCUCGGGCCGGGUUCCGGACUGGGCGGCUCGAGUGCGGUAGAGGAGAGCGGAAUUCCCGGUGUAGCGGUGGAAUGCGCAGAUAUCGGGAAGAACACCGAUGGCGAAGGCAGCUCUCUGGGCCGUCACUGACGCUGAGGCGCGAAAGCUGGGGGAGCGAACAGGAUUAGAUACCCUGGUAGUCCCAGCCGUAAACGAUGGACGCUAGGUGUGGGGGGACCUGCCCUCCGUGCCGCAGCCAACGCAUUAAGCGUCCCGCGUGGGGAGUACGGCCGCAAGGCUAAAACUCAAAGGAAUUGACGGGGGCCCGCACAAGCAGCGGAGCAUGUGGCUUAAUUCGAAGCAACGCGAAGAACCUUACCAGGGCUUGACAUGCGAGUGAAGCCGGGGAGACCCGGUGGCCGAGAGGAGCUCGCGCAGGUGGUGCAUGGCUGUCGUCAGCUCGUGUCGUGAGAUGUUGGGUUAAGUCCCGCAACGAGCGCAACCCCCGUCCCGCGUUGCCAGCAUUAGGUUGGGGACUCGCGGGAGACUGCCGGCGUCAAGCCGGAGGAGGGUGGGGACGACGUCAAGUCAUCAUGCCCCUUAUGCCCUGGGCUGCACACGUGCUACAAUGGCCGGUACAGAGGGUUGCCACCCCGCGAGGGGGAGCGGAUCCCGGAAAGCCGGCCCCAGUUCGGAUCGCAGGCUGCAACCCGCCUGCGUGAAGCCGGAGUUGCUAGUAAUCGCGGAUCAGCACGCCGCGGUGAAUACGUUCCCGGGCCUUGCACUCACCGCCCGUCA